rnacentral:lncRNA from 1 species
CGGGGACCGAGGCAGAGGAGGAGCGCGGCAGCGGCGGAGGCGAUCCCGCGAAUUCCUUCCAGUAAACACCUCCUGGGGGUGUCCGGAGGGCUGGGGGUGGGCGCCGCGGCGCCUACAUUAGCCCGGCCGGGCUGCGCCCAGGCGGCAGUCGGGUCGGAGCCGCCGCCGGACUCAGCGCCCCGCGCGCCCCGCGCUGCGCCCCGCGCCCGGCUCUGCGCGAUCGGCUCCCCGGCGUCGGAGGCGCGCCCGCCCGCCCGCUCGGCUCUCCGGCCGCCCUCCCCCGGGCUCCUCCGUCUCCGAGGAGCCCCGGGCGCUGCGGGGCCGCUCUCCGCCGCGGUGCCCCGCUCCCCCGCCUGCUUGCGGGGCGCGUGGGCUCGGCGGAGGUGGAGAGGGGGAGGCAGGCGGGGAGAAGAGGCGGGGGCCGCGGCGGCCGGAGCCCAGAGGAAAGUGGCAUGCCCGAGCCCUGGAGGCGGAGGUGGCGGAGGCGGCCGCGGGGAGACGAUGCCGCGGCUCCGUAGGGGAGGAAGGCGAGAGCGAGCCAGGCGAGCCGGGCGCCCGGGCGCCCGCCGGCUGCGGGGAGACGCGUGUCGCUCCGAGGGUCCGGCCUCCGCACCCCCGCGCCCCGACGCUGCGGGCGACAGGGCCGGGCUCCGGCAGCCGCCGCCGUCGCCGCCGCCGCCGCCGCCACCUGGAGGACGGAGCAAAAGUUUGGAUUUGGGGAAGGACGCGGCGCCGAGCGGAAUUCCUACCGGGGCCGCCAGGAGACCUCCAAAACCUUCGCAGAUUGCAGAUUGAGCUUAACCAAGAAGCUCGUGGGCUGAUCCACGCUGACCUGCCUGACCACGGAAGAGGUUCUGUCUGCCUGGCUGGGCCCCUCUUGGCUUCACUUGUUGCCUGGGUGGAAAAUUCUUCCUAUUGAAAUAUUUUUGCACAUGGAGGAGAGCAGCAAAGAGGCCAACACAGGCUGAGAAGACCAGAGGCCUCAAGAAUAUUCUGUGACCUUGGCCUUCAGGACAUUUCCUCUAGUUGGAGUUCUGGACUUGAGAACCCUGUUCAAUUAUUUUGGUUUAGCUAUCUGUUUCUAUUUUUUUAUUUUUUUACUUUUCUUUUCCCUACAGCAUUGUGU